UACGGAGGGAGCUAGCGUUGUUCGGAAUUACUGGGCGUAAAGCGCACGUAGGCGGCUUUGUAAGUUAGAGGUGAAAGCCCGGGGCUCAACUCCGGAACUGCCUUUGAGACUGCAUCGCUUGAAUCCGGGAGAGGUGAGUGGAAUUCCGAGUGUAGAGGUGAAAUUCGUAGAUAUUCGGAAGAACACCAGUGGCGAAGGCGGCUCACUGGACCGGUAUUGACGCUGAGGUGCGAAAGCGUGGGGAGCAAACAGG
rnacentral:rRNA from 1 species